rnacentral:lncRNA from 1 species
UCUACUUCCUGAUAACACAAAUGAAACCGUCUGAGACACAGGCUAGCAAAUCAAAAUCUGUCUUUUUCAGCAUCACUCAUACCUGUCAUAUAGACUUUGAUGCAAUUUCAACUGUCAAAAGACUUUUAUAGUAUGUCAGUUACAUUUGCAUCCCAUUUGCACCAAUUUAUAACAUCAAUCUAACGUUGUUUCCCCUGCAGUGCUGCCUGCUGGAGUCGAGCCAGAGGUCCUGCUGGACAGUAAGCAGUAACAAAACUGCAGUGAUGAUGUUCCCUUAACACCUUAAUACAAAGACGGGGCGGUACUGGAUGGCUGCCAUUUUGUAAGGUCUGGGCCAGCUUUACUAUAUGUUUUCGGGCUACUCAAAAGGAAAAGCUGGUGUUACAGAGGUACGGGGGUUGGAAUCCUGGUAAGAUUAAGGCGAGGGAAAACCGGUCUCCACUUCCCUCCAUUCUACUGGCCAAUGUACAGUCACUCGAUAAUAAGAUGGAUGAUCGCCGAUUUUCUACCAACAGGACUCUGCAAUAUUCUUAGCUUUUCUGAAACAUGGCUCUCGGACAAGAUACCUCCCAUGGCUAUCCAGCUCCAUGGAUUCUCCAUCCACCGGGCUAACAGGAC